CCUACGGGAGGCAGCAGUGGGGAAUCUUGCGCAAUGGGCGAAAGCCUGACGCAGCCAUGCCGCGUGAAUGAUGAAGGUCUUAGGAUUGUAAAAUUCUUUCACCGGGGACGAUAAUGACGGUACCCGGAGAAGAAGCCCCGGCUAACUUCGUGCCAGCAGCCGCGGUAAUACGAAGGGGGCUAGCGUUGCUCGGAAUUACUGGGCGUAAAGGGAGCGUAGGCGGAUAGUUUAGUCAGAGGUGAAAGCCCAGGGCUCAACCUUGGAAUUGCCUUUGAUACUGGCUAUCUUGAGUACGGAAGAGGUAUGUGGAACUCCGAGUGUAGAGGUGAAAUUCGUAGAUAUUCGGAAGAACACCAGUGGCGAAGGCGACAUACUGGUCCGUUACUGACGCUGAGGCUCGAAAGCGUGGGGAGCAAACAGGAUUAGAUACCCUGGUAGUCCACGCUGUAAACGAUGAGUGCUAGUUGUCGGCAUGCAUGCAUGUCGGUGACGCAGCUAACGCAUUAAGCACCCCGCCUGGGGAGUACGGUCGCAAGAUUAAAACUCAAAGGAAUUGACGG
rnacentral:rRNA from 1 species